rnacentral:rRNA from 1 species
CAGCGCCACAAGUGGCAACCAUGUUUAUUGGGUCUAAAGCGUCCGUAGCCGGUUUGAUAAAUUUCUUGUGAAAUUGUUCGGCUCAACCGAACAGCGUGCAAGAAAGACUGUCGAACUUGAGACCGGGAGGAGAUGAAGGUAUUCUGGGGGGAGCGGUAAAAUGCAAUAAUCCUCAGAGGACCACCAAUGGCGAAGGCAUUCAUCUAGAACGGGUCUGACGGUCAGGGACGAAAGCUAGGGGAGCAAACCGGAUUAGAUACCCGAGUAGUCC